AGCUACAUCCGUCACCUGACACGGCCCUACCAGGAACAGCCGCGCUCCCGCGGAUUCUGGUGCUGCUCGCGUCCCCGCUCCCCUAUUCCCCUUAUUUUAUUCCUGGCUCCCCUCGUCGAAAGUCUUCCAUUCUUCAAACUAGAUUAUUUAAAAAUGAAAAAGGAAGAAAGGAAAGCGAGGUCAUCUCAUUGCUCUAUCCGCCAAUCAGGAGGCUGAAUGUCAGUUUUGAACUAAAAGCCGCUCCGCUCCUCUUCUAGAUUUGGAAAACAAGCGAAAUUAAACUAAACCGCUGCACGCCUCUGACGCGACAUCUGGACACGGCGCGGCGCUGGCGCUGCCGGAGCUGUCGACCCGGCCUGGCGCCGGACUAGUGUCCCUUUUGAUGAGAAGAAUAAGCCUCAUUCUGAUUCAACAGCAGAGAUCAAAGAAAAGACUUCUGUUUUCUGGCCACCAGAUAUAUGUUAUCUGUGCUUAAAGAAUUGAAAAACACACAUCAAAGGAGAAUUUUCUUGGAAAGAGAGGGUUCAAGCAUCACUGUUAGGUGUGCUGGAAUCCUUUCCCGAGUCAGUACUGCUUUCUAGAAGAAAACCGGGGAGAUCUAUUUGGAAUGUAUCUAACUCCAAAGAAACCAUCAGAGGUAACAGUAGAGACGGGGUUUCACCAUGUUGGCCAGACUGGUCUUGAACUCUCGACCUCGUGAUUCGCCCGCCUCGGCCUCCCAAAGUGCUGGGAUUACAGGUGUGAGACACCACACCCGGCGGAUAGAGAGAAUUUUGACAGAUUGGCUUCUCUCACAUGGCAAGAAACAUUGCUGCUAGCACUUCCCGAGUUCUACGUUCUACAACAUCCACCACUGCUAUGUCUCACAGUCCAGACUUGGAGUACAAGUAAUAAGAAGAAUAAAACUUAAUCCCUUAAGUAGAUUCACCAUAAGUUAGCUCAGAGCAAUUCCAGUGCAAGUAUGGUCUGUGAUCCAGUAGUAUCUUACAGACAGCAAGUUGAACAUUGUGGGAUGCAUGAGCUAUUGAGGCCUUUGCAGCUUUCUGCUACAUGGAGGCUAGGGCCAGAGUCAAGAUUUAUGCUUUGCAGCACACUGGUCAGCUGUUUUUGCAAAUCAGAUUAAAUGAUUUUUAAAUGAGGCUGAGAGCAUGGGAGAUACUAAUGUGUGUUUCCUUGUGAGCUACUGCAUAAGUUAGGAAAUUGAAAUACAGAAAGAUGAAAAGUGAUUUGCCCAAGCAUAUAGAUCAAAGCUGUGGCAGAACCAGGACUGGAACCUAUAUCUCUCUACUAAUGGUUUUUUUAAAAAAAUAACCUUGUUUCAAAAAUAUUAAAAAGUCACAAGAAAGGUAAACAUGUGGAUAAACAAAAUGAAGAAAAUAAAAAUUAUCCAGUAAUAACAUA
rnacentral:lncRNA from 1 species